AUAGACUUAGCCAUAGCGGUCGCUGUUUCGGUGUGUUUUUAGACCAUUAAAGUUAAUUGUAAUACUUGGUGGGCUAGAAAGUUUUGUGCAGCGUUUGGUUUUACUAAAAGACCCUCUAAGGAGUCAGAUAUCCGCAACCAAUCGACGCAGCAGUAGACAACUCCUGUGUUCUGCCAUGUAAAAUGACUGUUUUUGUCAGUGGAGUCAGGUGGCUUUGAUAUAAUGGCUUCAGUGAUACGCAGGAAAAAACUGAUGGCAAGAAGAGAACCCAUCUACCCACGGCGUUACUCGCGCAAACCCCUGGGACCACGUCACUGUGGUGAGGCGCGGGUGAACACCACACAGGAUCAGUAUGUACGGGGCUCUGUGUAGAGCAUGCUGUAUAGGGGAGGGAUGUAUGGUGUUAUGUAAGAGGCGAGAGUGGGUGUGGAGUUCAGCUGGAGCAGCUUACAGCCUGACACUGAGUGUCUCUGAGUGCAAACAAUCCCUUCAGCCCGGCCUUGUGUGCUGCUCACACACACUUAAUGCUGUGCUUAUAGGUCAGUGCAACCUUCUGUCAGCACACAAUGUACACAUGCAUAUAGAGUCAAGGUGGGGUUUAAGAUGCUCUGUAUGUGUUUUUUUUUUUUUUUUUUUUUUACUUUGUAUGUUCCUCCAAAGAUCACCUCUGUGAACUGUUUGAAGCCGUGUUAGCAGCACUCUGAGCUUUAAACAUGCUGGUACAAGUAAAAGUCGUGUAUGCAAAACUCUACUUAAGUCAAUAAGUGCUAUCAGUUUUAUUGCAAAGUAGGUUUGCACACCAAGAGAAAUUCUUUGUGUGCAAACCUACUCUGCAAUUAAACUGUUUCUGAUUGUGAUCAGCUAAAUGAACUUAAAGCAUCAAAAGUAAAAGUAUGUACUGGACAGAAUAGCCCUUUUCAGAGUGUUAUAUUGGGAGUUUAAUAUAUAAUAAUGCAUCAUAUUGUUGGUAAAAUUUAUUCUGGAAAGUAUCAGCUGUCAGAUGAAUGUAGAGGAAUAAAAAGUAUAAUA